GCCCAUAUAGCUCAGUCGGAAGAGCGCCCGGCUUUUAACCGUGUGGUCGUGGGUUUCGAAGGCCCCCAUUUAUAGGGG
rnacentral:tRNA from 1 species